rnacentral:rRNA from 1 species
UGGGGAAUAUUGCACAAUGGGCGCAAGCCUGAUGCAGCAACGCCGCGUGAACGAUGAAGGUCUUCGGAUCGUAAAGUUCUGUUGCAGGGGAAGAUAAUGACGGUACCCUGUGAGGAAGCCCCGGCUAACUACGUGCCAGCAGCCGCGGUAAUACGUAGGGGGCUAGCGUUAUCCGGAUUUACUGGGCGUAAAGGGUGCGUAGGUGGUCUUUCAAGUCGGUGGUUAAAGGCUACGGCUCAACCGUAGUUAGCCUCCGAAACUGGAAGACUUGAGUGCAGGAGAGGAAAGUGGAAUUCCCAGUGUAGCGGUGAAAUGCGUAGAUAUUGGGAGGAACACCAGUAGCGAAGGCGGCUUUCUGGACUGCAACUGACACUGAGGCACGAAAGCGUGGGUAGAAAACAGG